AGGGAAGACAAUAACUCACAGUGGAAGAGAAGUAUAGAACACAGGGCAGCAAGGUAGGGCUGUGCCCUCCCACAGCACACAGAAUAUGCCCAUGGAUUUGUUAAAAUGUCAAAAGCAGGUGUUUCUUUUUUCUUCAGUCUGAGCUUCAAGCUAACAUGGGCAUUCAGCGUAAUCCCUCCCAGGUGCUAAAACAGUAUGUGGUUCAGGAUUUCAGAGGUAAUUAUUGCUGAAUGCAAUGUAUGGCCAGUGCACCUGCCAGGUAGAUGUUAUGAAAGAAUGUGCCGAGGGGUGCACCGAAAGAAUUUGGGGGACAAUUUCUCCAUCCUACCUUUUAUAAGGCCUAUUAAGGCCAUCAAAAACUAGCCAUGGAGCUAAACAGAUUCACAGUGUGGUUAACAACACAAAAGAUGUAGCAGGAACCAAAAAUCCUAACAAGAUCAAGCAGAGGUUCUAGGUCAGAGAAAAUGCCAGCACUACCCUGAGAAAUUCAAGCUUCGUGGCAGCAGUCCAGUCCUGCAACUGACGCACAGUGAGUUAUCUUGUAGGAAAGUUGAAUAUACAGACAUUUAGAUUUGGAUAUUUAGAUCCUGGCUUAGGCACCCAAGGGAAAUACUUAGUCUGCUUGUCUCAAAUGAAAGGGAGAGAGAGUGGUUCAAUAUGGUCAUUUAUUCCUUGAAAGGUGAGUGUUUCCUGGCAUUGGACAAUGUCCUUGAAACAGAAUAGGGGACAAUCACAGCACAAACAAACCAACCAACCAACCAAAAAAAAAAAACCAUUCAGUUUCCCUGCCCUGAUGGAGCUCAAGAUCCGGUGGGAGAGUCAAAAAUUAAUCAAAUAAUGACCCAGGUUAAUAAAAAAUCACCACUGUGGUAGCUCCAUGAAGGAGAGGUACCAGGUUUUCUGAAAGCUUGGAAGAGGGGGAUUUGAACUAGUUGGGUGGCUUCUCUGAGACACUGAAAACUGGGCUGAGAUAAAAAAUGCGCUUGCUUGUUUGGUGCUUAAUUUGUGCUGGGCACUGCUAACAGCUUUACCACAUUGUGUUGAUUUUCACGCAUCAAAGUUUGGAAGUAGGCAUUAUCCCUCACUGAUCUAGGAAGAGAAUCCCACCGUUAUCUAUCAGCUUAGGAAGAAGCUUCCAUCAUUAUCGAUAACCUAAGGAAGAACAUUCCAUUAAGAUGCCCUAGAAUGGAGGCUCCCUGGGCUUCCUUUUUGUACCUCUGUCACUACCGUCUGGAGCUACUGCAAUAGUCCCAAGUCCUGCACAGGAUACCAGCUCACAUCUCGCAGGGUGAACUUACGUAUUCCCAUUAUGCAGAUUCGAAAAUUUGGCCCAGGGGGUUGGGUAGUGUGCGUGGAGCCAUGUGGCUAGUGAGGUCCAGAGCCUCUAUGAGACGCCAAGCUCCGUGUCUCCAGGCAAAGGAGGAAGUGGGAAUACGUUGGGAUCAGGGGGAACAGCAAGUGUCAAGGCACAUUGGUGCAGAGCUCAAGGGUCUGCUUCUCCUCUCGUACACCCUGGACCAGAAGGACCUGCAGAUCCUCCUAUGGGUCACUCUGUGUUCCCCAGAAGCAGGAUCCAGGCAGUGUUUUAUGCCUUCACAGGCAGGAGAAACGUGUAUCACUGAUGGUGGAGGGGGGAUGCGGUGCUUUGAAACGUGGUCCCUCAAGAUCACCUGUCUUGCUGCUAAAGCUACAAAUAAGUAUGUCCAGAUUCCCGUCUCGAGGAUGAGAUCCCUGUCUCAGGCUUGCUUGCAUGCUGACAGUUCCUCUUGGAAAAGCUUGCAAGCACCUUUUGAAAGUCACCCGACGCGGAAAAGCUCCCAUAUAGCACAAACACAAAAGCUUGAAACCUUGAGGCUUCGCCCACACGGAUUAAAUGAAAUGCUUUCAGUGACUUUGCGGCUACUUAUAAAAAACAAUUUACAUAAACGGAUGUGCUGUUCAAGGAGGGUAGAGAGGGUGGCUUGAAUUUUUUUAAAACUUGCUUUUCCCCUUAGUUUAAUAGCUCCAGAGGCCUCAAAGAAGCAACUGUUUUUAUAAAACGGGCUUGUAAAUUUAUUGAGACAGACUCCAAUUGGCCCUAUUUCAGGCAGCUCUCUGGGGCCUCCCAACAUACAGCGCCUGAGUCCUGGGGCCUCGGAUUGCAAGUUGCUGGAGGAGCCCAUCCUCCACGACUCAGGCUUCCUGCGCCUGAGACGCUUCCGCUUACUCCAGCGUAUUUAACUGCUGCAAGUAUCUGAGGUUUGCCAAAGGUCUAGGCAAGAACUUACAGGUUUUACCCUGCCCAACUCUCAUGAAAAUGGAUCCCAGAACAGAGAUGCCAGCAUCUCACAGCAAUAAUACACACACACGCACGCACACACACACACACACACACACACAAAUGCAUACACAGACACACACACAGACAAAUAUUAGGCUCAUCGUUGUUGCCCAUAUGGAAAAGAUGCUGAAAAUGUACAACUGUUGUUUAAUUAAUGGUUGUGUAUAUUCAUUUUCUCUAGCUUGAUUUUCUUGUAUUUUUGGAAGAGAUGAUAUGGGCGUUUGGUCAAUAUUCCAAACAGAUUACAUGUCUUUUUUUCAAACUUGGACCAGUUCUCCUUUCCUCCCUCCCAUGUCACCCAGUCAGAAAUAUGUGUUCUAAGCGCAGACAUCUACUUCCCAUCCCCUGCCAUGUGCUUUUUUAUACAUUGAGAGCAGCGUGUGGACAUAAUUAUGCACGUUGGCUUUUAUUUAAUACUAUAUCUUUGAGGUAGGCGACCUCAGUAGUGAUGAUGAUGGUGAUGUGACAGCAAACAGACAUGUCUGUGGUACGUGUUCUCAUCCCAACACUGUUCUGAGCUCUUUCUGCGUGAUCCUUACCACAUCCUACGGGACAUGUGCUAGCAUCACCCAGCUGGGGAGAGAGGGAAACGGAGGUAUGGAGCAGUUCAGUGACUUGCCCAAAGUCUCACAGUGGGAAUUGGAAUGUGAUCCGAACUAGACUCCACGCCCCAAACCACAGUGCCACAUUACCUCUCAGGACGAAAUCACUGCCUCUCAUUUAUUCGUUUUGAGAGCCGCAUACUAUUCCUUUGAAUGAAUGAAUCAUGUUAAUGUAGCCUGCCCACUGUUAAUGAUGUCUUGGGUUUUCUUCCUACAUUUUGCUACUGCAAGCAGUGUUUCAAACUUCUGAUAUUUCACUACCUAUCUUUGCACUGGUGCUUUGUGUAUAUGUGCUUUGUGCACGUGUUUGUAAUAUCAAGUAAUCAAGUCAUAAUAGUAGAUCUGCUGGGGUUUGAACACUGACGCUCAUUUUCUUCUUGCUGUGAGGAGACAUGGAGAGGGGCUUAUGGACAUGGGACCUCUGAAGCGUCCCUACUCUCGCAGCCAACUCAAAAUGGUCCCUUCAAAGUGCAAAUGCUCAAUAAACAUUAAAGAAAGACUUCAAUCACAAAAGCUGCCAUGUUUGGGACAAUUACAAUGUAGAACAUAUUUUGAUUCAUCGGAUCUGAUUAAAUUGAUAUGAACCAAUCAAACAUCAUCCUCAUACUGUCGCCCAGGAAGUGGGAUCCCCUGAUUUGAAGUCACCAAAGACAGGAAGCGUCACAGUCCUCUCUGAACUUCAGCUCUUUGGAAUCCAAACCUAUAUACUAUGUGCUCUCAGUCUUACAUCAGCAGGUUCGACCCA
rnacentral:lncRNA from 1 species